CUUCAAAGCGGGCUUUGUGUGGCGCCUGCGUGGGGGCCAGCUGCAGCCCGGCUACCCAGCAUUGGCCUCUCGCCACUGGCAGGGACUGCCUAGCCCUGUGGACGCUGCCUUCGAGGAUGCCCAGGGCCACAUUUGGUUCUUCCAAGGUGCUCAGUACUGGGUGUACGACGGUGAAAAGCCAGUCCUGGGCCCCGCACCCCUCACCGAGCUGGGCCUGGUGAGGUUCCCGGUCCAUGCCGCCUUGGUCUGGGGUCCCGAGAAGAACAAGAUCUACUUCUUCCGAGGCAGGGACUACUGGCGUUUCCACCCCAGCACCCGGCGUGUAGACAGUCCCGUGCCCCGCAGGGCCACUGACUGGCGAGGGGUGCCCUCUGAGAUCGACGCUGCUUUCCAGGAUGCUGAUGGUGCGUUGGGGGUGAGGCAGCUGGUGGGAGGUGGGCACAGCAGCCGCUUCUCCCACCUGGUGGUGGCUGGGCUCCCACAUGACUGCCACAGGCAGUGUGGCUCUUCAUCACAGGUCCUUUGUCCAGUGCCAUCUGCCCUCCUCUC
rnacentral:sRNA from 1 species